GAUUCCAUACUGUAGAGGUUAUCACGUUUGCUUUGCACACAGAAGGUCUUGGGUUUGAAACCCAGUGGAAUCA
rnacentral:tRNA from 1 species